GACGAACGCGGCGGCGUGCCUAAUACAUGCAAGUCGAACGAACCGCGACUGAGUGCUUGCACUUGGUCAAGGUGAGUGGCGAACGGGUGAGUAACACGUGGGUAACCUACCUCAUAGUGGGGGAUAACAGUCGGAAACGACUGCUAAUACCGCAUAGGACAUGGGAUCACAUGAUCCAGUGAGGAAAGGUGGCGCAAGCUAUCGCUAAGAGAUGGACCCGCGGUGCAUUAGCUAGUUGGUAGGGUAACGGCCUACCAAGGCGAUGAUGCAUAGCCGACCUGAGAGGGUGAUCGGCCACAUUGGGACUGAGACACGGCCCAAACUCCUACGGGAGGCAGCAGUAGGGAAUCUUCCGCAAUGGACGCAAGUCUGACGGAGCAACGCCGCGUGAGUGAAGAAGGUCUUCGGAUCGUAAAGCUCUGUUGUUAGAGAAGAACAGCGCAUAGAGUAACUGCUAUGCGUGGG
rnacentral:rRNA from 1 species